rnacentral:rRNA from 1 species
UACGGAGGGUGCAAGCGUUAAUCGGAAUUACUGGGCGUAAAGCGUGCGCAGGCGGCUUUGCAAGACAGAUGUGAAAUCCCCGGGCUCAACCUGGGAACUGCAUUUGUGACUGCAAGGCUGGAGUACGGCAGAGGGGGAUGGAAUUCCGCGUGUAGCAGUGAAAUGCGUAGAUAUGCGGAGGAACACCGAUGGCGAAGGCAAUCCCCUGGGCCUGUACUGACGCUCAUGCACGAAAGCGUGGGGAGCAAACAGG